rnacentral:tRNA from 1 species
GGGUCAGUAGCUCAGUCGGUAGAGCAGCAGCCUUUUAAGCUGAUGGUCCCGGGUUCAAAUCCCGGCUGACCCA